CUUGCAGGUCCGUUGUUCUCCUCCUCACUUGGCCUAGAUUUGUUGUGCCGCUAGUUGAUCUGUGCUGGUCUUCGCGUUUUCAUCAGGAAACUAUAGCUUGUUUCAGUUACAACUAAGUUCUUGGGUUCCACUUUGUUGUUGGAAACUACUUACUAGUGGAGCUGCUGCUUGGUUCAUAGGAUCAUCUUGUUGUGGUCGCGUGAAAGGAUGGUGUUCGUGAUCUAUAUCAUGGAAAAUAUAUCCUGGAAUGCCUCUAGACCCAAGAACAAUUCCUUAUAACGCUCACCAUUUGUGCACUUCUUUUGGUCUUGGACAAAGGGUAUGUGGAAGACUGGAUUUGAUAUUAUCCUGGAAUGGCAACUAUUGGUGUGCAACUGAAGAAUAUAUUUCAUGACCGAGAGAUGGUAUUUGGAGAAUCUUAGUUUUGAUAUGUACAUGAAUCUUCUUUUAUUUUGUCGCGCAACUGAAGAUAUAGGACUAUUUGCUCUGUGUAUCUCGUAUAAAUAAGGAAAUGGACUAUAGGUAAAAAAAA